rnacentral:tRNA from 2 species
GCGAGAGUGACGGAAUCGGUAGACGUAGUCGGCUCAAAAUCGACCGCCUUUACGGGCAUAGGGGUUCGAGUCCCCUCUCUCGCA